rnacentral:rRNA from 1 species
UUGAACGCUGGCGGCAGGCCUAACACAUGCAAGUCGAACGGUAACAGGAAGAAGCUUGCUUCUUUGCUGACGAGUGGCGGACGGGUGAGUAAUGUCUGGGAAACUGCCUGAUGGAGGGGGAUAACUACUGGAAACGGUAGCUAAUACCGCAUAACGUCGCAAGACCAAAGAGGGGGACCUUCGGGCCUCUUGCCAUCGGAUGUGCCCAGAUGGGAUUAGCUUGUUGGUGGGGUAACGGCUCACCAAGGCGACGAUCCCUAGCUGGUCUGAGAGGAUGACCAGCCACACUGGAACUGAGACACGGUCCAGACUCCUACGGGAGGCAGCAGUGGGGAAUAUUGCACAAUGGGCGCAAGCCUGAUGCAGCCAUGCCGCGUGUAUGAAGAAGGCCUUCGGGUUGUAAAGUACUUUCAGCGGGGAGGAAGGGAGUAAAGUUAAUACCUUUACUCAUUGACGUUACCCGCAGAAGAAGCACCGGCUAACUCCGUGCCAGCAGCCGCGGUAAUACGGAGGGUGCAAGCGUUAAUCGGAAUUGCUGGGCGUAAAGCGCACGCAGGCGUUUUGUUAAGUCAGAUGUGAAAUCCCCGGGCUCAACCUGGGAACUGCAUCUGAUACUGGCAAGCUUGAGUCUCGUAGAGGGGGGUAGAAUUCCAGGUGUAGCGGUGAAAUGCGUAGAGAUCUGGAGGAAUACCGGUGGCGAAGGCGGCCCCCUGGACGAAGACUGACGCUCAGGUGCGAAAGCGUGGGGAGCAAACAGGAUUAGAUACCCUGGUAGUCCACGCCGUAAACGAUGUCGACUUGGAGGUUGUGCCCUUGAGGCGUGGCUUCCGGAGCUAACGCGUUAAGUCGACCGCCUGGGGAGUACGGCCGCAAGGUUAAAACUCAAAUGAAUUGACGGGGGCCCGCACAAGCGGUGGAGCAUGUGGUUUAAUUCGAUGCAACGCGAAGAACCUUACCUGGUCUUGACAUCCACAGAACUUUCCAGAGAUGGAUUGGUGCCUUCGGGAACUGUGAGACAGGUGCUGCAUGGCUGUCGUCAGCUCGUGUUGUGAAAUGUUGGGUUAAGUCCCGCAACGAGCGCAACCCUUAUCCUUUGUUGCCAGCGGUCCGGCCGGGAACUCAAAGGAGACUGCCAGUGAUAAACUGGAGGAAGGUGGGGAUGACGUCAAAUCAUCAUGCCCUUUAUGACUUGGGCUACACACGUACUACAAUGGCGUUAAACAAAGAGAAGCAAGACCGCGAGGUGGAGCAAAACUCAGAAACAACGUCCCAGUUCGGACUGCAGUCUGCAACUCGACUGCACGAAGCUGGAAUCGCUAGUAAUCGCGGAUCAGAAUGCCGCGGUGAAUACGUUCCCGGGCCUUGUACACACCGCCCGUCACACCAUGAGAGUUGGGGAUACCCGAAGCCUGUGAGCCAACAUAUCUAUGAGGCAGCAGUCGAAGGUAGAAUCAAUGAUUGGGGUG